UCUGCAGCAGGAGCCAGCGCCCACGACGAGAGCACAGCUGCGCAUCCCAGUAGCAGGCAAGAUGGUGAUGCGUGACCUUGGCCAGGCGCACAGUGCGGGUCAAACGUGAGUCUGGCAUUGCUGUGCAGGCACUUGGUGGACGUGGUUAACCUUUACCAUUUGUAAUCAGUGGACCUGAGUAGAGCGGACGAGCCUCCACGAUGCGGGGCCUCCCCCGCGCGGUGGAAGUCGUAAGAGCAAAGACUGAGGCAGUCCAGAGAAGCAGCAACUCGGCCUCAGGACGGCAGUGUGGAAAUUCUGCCUCAGUUUCCAGCCUGUGGCCUGCCCUAGACGUGUCAGACCUGCCAGCCCCACAGUCCCGUGAACCACUUCCCAUAGCCUGUUGGUUCUGCUUCUCCGGAGAACCACGUUUUAAUGCGUUCAGGCUGCUGUAACAAAAAAGACAGACUGGGUGACUUGUAAACAAUAGACGUUGAUUUCCCGAGUUCUGGAGGCUGGCAGCCCAAGAUCAGGGUGCCAGCUUGGUCCGGGUCUGGCGAGAGCCUCUAUCUGACUUGCAGAGGGUGACACAGCUCCUGCGGGUUUCUCUUGGGGCGCUUGCCCUGGGAGCCUUCAGCAGCCGUGUAAGAAGUUCUGCGGCCCUGAGGCCAGCACGUGCAGAAGCCAUGUAGAGGGAGAGACGCUCACGGAGCCCAGGGGUGGGUCUUCCCAGCCAGGUGCCAAGUAUGAGAUGAAGGGGCCUUUGAGAUGACCCUGACCACACACGCUGUGUGACAGCCACUGCAUGAGAGACCCCACCAAGAGCGGCCCUACGGAACCAGCCAACCCCAGACGCAUGGGCCACGUGGAGUGGAGAGCCUAGAAAGAUCUGUUGCAGGCACAAUGCUGUUCUCUGGAUGUUCGUCUUCCCACAGAUUCGUGUAUUGAAGCCCUGAACCCCAGGUGACAACAUUUGGAGGUGGAGCCUUUGGGAGGUGGUUAAGUUUAGACAAGGUCAUGAGGGUGGGGCUCCGGUCCCAUGUGGUUAGCGCCCUUACUGGAGAGACCCUAAGAACUCGCUCUCUCUGCCACGUGAGGAUACAGGAAGAGGCCACCGUCUGCAGGCCAGAGGAGAGCUCUCACCAGAAACUGGGCCCACUGGCACCCUGAUCUUGGGCUUUCAGCCUCCAGAACCAUGAGGGGGAGCAGGCACCCACCCCUGCGACAGGUCAGGGGCGCACCCCCAGAUGACUUCCUGCCGAGUGCUUUUCCCCUCUGUCUGUGCCAACCCUCGGGGUCCCAGCCCGCCCAGCCUUCUCCUCCGGCCAGCCCUGGAGCAAACCCACCAGGCCCUGUCCUCAGACGGAGGUUCCAGGAAGACAUUCCUCAAGAGGGAAACGCUGCACGGUGUUUGACAUGUGUGAUUACAAGCUUACAGAACCUGCUUACGUUGCUGCCGUUAUUGCCGCUCUCUUUAGGAACAGCUACUCAUUAGAACCAAACAGAAGCUUUCUUUCGAGAGA